AUGAACCCCAGCGCCCCCAGCGACCUCAUGGCGUCGCUCUAUGUAGGGCACCUCCACCCCGACAUGACCGAGGUGAUGCUUUAGGAGAAGUUCAGCCCAGCCAUGCCCAUCCUCUUCAUCCGAGUCUGCAGGGACAUGAUCAGCCCCCCCGCCCCCUCCCCCUCCCCCCUCCCCCUUCUCCCUACUUGAACUUCCAGCAGCCAGCGGACGAGGAGCGUGCUUUGGACACCAUGAAUUUUGAUGUGAUAAAGGGCCAGCCGGGACACAUCACGUGGUCUCAGCAUGAUCCAUCACUUCGCAGAAGUGGAGUGGGCAACAUAUUCAUUAAAAAUCUGGACAAAUUCAUUGAUAAUAAAGCACUGUAUGAUACAUUUUCUGCUUUUGUAACAUCCUUUCAUGUAAUGUGGUUUGUGGUGAAAGCGGCUCCAAGGGCUGUGAAUUUGUACACUUUGAGACGCAGGAAGCAGCUGAAAGAGCUAUUGAAAAAAAUGAAUGGAAUGCUCUAAAAGAUCGCAAAGUAUUUGUUGGAUGAUUUAAAUCUUGUAAAGAAGGAGAAGCUGAACUUGGAGCUAAGGCGAAAGAGUUCAUCAAUGUUUAUAUCAAGAAUUUUGGAGAAGACAUGGAUGAUGAGGGCCUUAAGGAUCUCUUUGGCAAGUUUGGGCCUGCCUUAAGUGUAAAGUAAUGACUGAUGAAAGUGGAAAAUCCAAAGGAUUAGGAUUUGGAUUUGUAAGCUUUGAAAGGCAUGAAGACGCACAGAAAGCUGUGGAUGAGAUGAAUGGAAAGGAGCUCAUUGAAAAACAAAUUUACGUUGGUCGAGCUCAGAAAAAGUUGGAGCGGCAGAUGGAACUUAAACACAAUUUUGAACAGAUGAAGCAAGAAAGGAUCACCAGAUACCAGGGUGUUAAUCUUUAUGUGAAAAAUCUUGAUGAUGAUAUUGAUGAUGAAGAACGUCUCCACAAAGAGUUUUCUCCAUUUGGUACAAUCACUAGUGAAAAGGUUAUGAUGGAGGGUGGUUGGAGCAAAAGGUUUGGUUUUGUAUGUUCUCCUCCCCAGAAGAAGCCACUAAAGCAGUUACAGAAAUAAACGGUAGACUUGUGGCUCACCUUCAGUAACCAGGAUAUGCAGAGAAUGGCAAGUGUACGAGCUGUGCCCAACCCUGUAAUCAACCCUUACCAGCCAGCGCCUCCUUCAGGUUACUUCAUGACUGCUAACCCACAGACUCAGAACCCUGCUGCCUACUAUCCUGCUAGCCAAAUUGCUCAGCUAAGACCAAGUCCUCGCUGGACUGCUCAGGGUGCCAGACCUCAUCCAUUCCAAAGUAUGCCCGGUGCUAUUCGCCCAGCUGCUCCUAGACCACGAUUUAGGACUACGAGACCAGCUUCUUCACAGGUUCCACGAGUCAUGUCAACACAGUGUGUUGCUAACACAUCCACACAGACAGCGGGCCCACGUCCUACAGCUGCAGCUGUUACGGAUCUGUGUCCACACUGUUCCACGGUAUAAAUAUGCUGCGGGAGUUUGCAACCCUCAGCAACAUCUUAAUGCACAGCCACGAGUUACAAUGCAACAGCCUGCUGUUUAUGUACAAGGUCAGAAAGCUUUGACUGCUUCCAUGUUGGCAUCUGCCCCUCCUCAAGAGCAAAAGCAAAAGUUGAGUGAAUGGCUCUUUCCUCUUAUUCAAGCCAUGCACCCUACUGUUGCUGGUAAAAUCCCUGGCAUGUUGUUGGAGAUUGAUAAUUCAGAACUUCUUCACAUGCUUGAGUCUCCAGAGUCACUACGUUCUAAGGCUGAUGAAGCUGUAGCUGUACUACAAGCCCACCAAGCUCAAGAGGCUGCCCGGAAAGCCGUUAACAGUGCCACCGCUGUUCCAACUGUUUAAAAUUGAU